rnacentral:lncRNA from 1 species
UCAAAGUACAACAAUAAAUGGAAUUGACAAUUAUGUUUCUUAUACACUUCAUCUUAACCAAAACUACACACAACUCUGUUAUACAAAAUCACACUCAAUGCCUUUCAAACACUCUUAUUCUUCUUCUUCUUUCUUUCUUCUUUGAUCGUGGCUGCCAAGAAACAACAAGAGGCAUCUGCCUCUUCUUUUGGUUCUUUUCCUUACUCAUUACCUGUUAAUCAAAACAAACCCUAAAUAUCCGACCCUUCAUCAGUUGCUAUCUAAACAAUCAAAGAAGAAGAAGAAAAUUUGUUGUACUUCCUUGUGCAAUACCUGUCGAUUGAAACAACAAAAAUCACCCCACAAAAUGUACUUUUCUUUUCGGUGAAAUCAAAGAGGUAGCAACCUCUUUGCUGCUGAUCGGAGCAAGCCAAAUACUCCCUGAAGUCAUCACAGUUGCUGCUAGUUUCUCCCUCCCCUUUUGCUUUUGCUGUCGGACCAAAGAAGGGACAACCAAGAGUCGUCGGAGCAGCAUCGCUGCCACAAACUGCCGACAACGGCUUUGCUGCCACCCCUCUCUAUCUGCUUCCUUCGAUCAGCCAAGCACCGGUGGUGUUCCUGCUGUUCAACCACUGAACAGUCACCUCGACACCUGCUCCACCGCCGCCAGUCGUUGCUGCCGUUGCCCUUUCGUUUUCCUUCUAUCGCCGAUGAAAAAGAACCAUGAGGAGGUUCGCCGGAGAUGGGCUACUCCUCCUCCUUGAUCGACAGAUGAACCACCGAGCCACCCUCCCUCGAUCGCUGUUUCGAUUUUUUCUUCCCUUCGCACGACGGAUGAACCACCGGAGGCGAACAUUGUGUCGUUUGUGUUUCCUCCUUGUAUCCGUUCUUUCCUUGCCCGAUCUAAUGGAAACGGGGGCACCAAAAUUAAACCCUGAUCCCUUUUAUUAGUUUGAUGGAUUUGGAAGAACUUACCCUCCAAAUGUAUCUUUUAAUCCCAAACGAACCCAUUUUUAUAGAUAGAUAAAAAAAUGUUUAAUGUUGGUUAAUUUAAGUUACUAAACAACCAUCCACUUGUUGAGUUAUUAGCAAAACAGUCCUCCUAGCCUUGUGAUUUAUUUGAAACAGCCCUACACUUGUCAAGUAAUACCAAAACUGCCCUUUUGUUAAUUAAGUGACAAAUAUAGUUUCGGUGGUUUGUGUUAAACUCAAAAAGUGUCAAGAGGCGGUUUCUCACGACAAACUUCACGAACCGAGACUAGAUCAAGAUCACGCAUCGAAUGUGAGUUUCUACGGCCCCUCUUUUACGGUUUUAAUAUUUGGGGGAGAAUACAUGAGUGUCUAUUUAAAGUUUGAUGAUUUUCAAGUCUUAUACAUAAAAAGACAUCAUACUUUAUUAUUGGUUAAGAGUUCAUGAAAAUAACAAUCUAAAAGGUAUAAAGCAUUAAUAAAUUAUAUAAGUUAUUGUAGAAUGCUAUAAAUGAUAAAAUUAUACCUUGUUGUGAUAUAUUAGUUAAUAUUAAUAAAAAUCACAGGAUUAUAAUUAGAUUGAUAUAAAGAUAUAAGUUAUUCGAUGAAUCCCAAAUUGUAAUAUUCGUCGUAUAUAUGUGCACGAAAAUAUUGAGAAAGCAUAAAAAUACAUUAUACUCAUAACAAAAUCUGUUAUUCAAAAUAAGUGUGUACAAAGGAAAUAUACAUUGUCUUAAACGGCUAUAAACAAAGAUUUGACAAAUAUAUUUAAUAAUUAAUUGAAGGUAUACCAAAAUUCAGUUAUUAUGAUUAUACUCCGAUCAUAACGUGGAAACGAUUGCUAAAUAAAUUAUAUAAUUUAUUUUUAUAAUUAUUAUAAAAAUAAAAAUAAUUUUAGUUGUGAUACGAACCUCGCCACAUAUGAUAAUAUAAUUAUUUCUCUGAUUCUUGGGGAUUAUUACCUAAUAAAUUAUAUAUCAUAUCAAUUAUGCAAUUUAUCGAAUAUUUGCAUAAAUGAGUAUUCGGCUACGCGAACGAACAUCCUCCUUAUCGGCUGAAGUAAAGAACUAUACAAAUUAUUACCGCCACAAUAGUCGAACGCUACGUUAAUUUCACUAUUUAACUAAUUUCACUAAGCUUCAAAAGUCUUAAUACUCUAAGAUUCGCGUUAGUGACCCUAGUGAACGACGAAUUUUAUGAGUUGAAGAAUCGUCAUCAUGGAUUUCGUGGAUUGUGUAUCCCAUGUGUGUUUGUAUCGAAAGGGGUGAAAGAGAGAGUGUUAUGAUGGUGUAUUUUUCCUUUGUAAGGAUCAAAUCCUAGAAUCGACACCUAGCUCUAUAACCGUUAAUCCUGGAGGAAUCAUAUACUGUAGGUCUAUGUACACGGCAUAGAUUUAUAAUAAAGAACUUUGGUGUAGAUCUAUUUCUUAUGGAAAGAUUUAUGCGAAUGGUUAUUUUCCGUCUGUGGUUGCUAGCUACAACUUCGUCUGACGAGGCAACAGGCGUCAAGUGUUUCUUUCUUCGUUACUAUACGACUGCUUUUAAACGUUAGUAAUGAUCUCGAUUCCUCCAUUUAUAUUUAUAUUGUGCCUGUGUGGCUUGUUUAUUGUGCCUUUUUGGCUUGUGGAGGAGCGACGAAUAGUGUCGGUUAUAGACAAAUUGAUAUAUUGAAGAUUUUAUUCGAAGAAGUAUAGAUCUAGAUUGAGUCAAUCCUCCCAAUUUGGGCCGAGUGUGUAAGAGUGUUUAGGUAUUUAACUACCUCUCCCUACGACUCAAUUCUCCGUAAGCAGAGACGUUUGAAAGAAUAUAAUUGUAAAGAUAAUGGUUAAUAUUUGUCGUUGAAAUUAUACGAGUGGUAAAAAUAUGCAUUUAUAAUUUACCGGUUAUUGAAAAGUAUUUUGGGAUGAGUUUGCCCCACUGGUUAAGUGUUGAUUUCCAAAUUAAGUAAGAUAAUGCUUAAUUAAUAAUAUGACACGGAUUUACAAAGUUUAUAAAAUUCAAAAUUUUGAGUUUUACAUAUAAACUAUGCGAAUGUUUGUACAAAGUUUUAAGAGAAAACUUGGCUAUUUUAUGUUUACACAAAGUGUGAUAUGACUUUAUUUAUAUAAAUUGGUUUCAAAAUCUUUAUAUAAAGAGCAUUUCGGUCAUGAGAACCGUAAGAAUUUGUUAUAAGUUUGGUUUACUUAUAUAUUUUACAAAUGGUGUAUUUUUGGAUUUGAGCAAAUGACAUUUCUAAAUGAGUUUAAAUAUACUUUUAUGACGCAAUUAUUUUAUACUUUCGAUAGAAAAAUAUGUGUUUAUAAAAGUUGGUCAACCAGAUAAAUUUUAUAAAACAUUUUUGGGUGUAAAAAUACUUUGUGUCAAAACUUGUAGAACUCACCAACAAUUUUGUUGACGUAUCUUAAUGCAUGUAUUCUCAGGUUAUUUAUAAGGUUAGAAGAGUUUGUACAGAAG